rnacentral:rRNA from 1 species
UACAUAGGUCGCGAGCGUUAUUCGGAUUUAUUGGGCGUAAAGCAAGCGCAGGCGGAUGGAAAAGUUCCGUGUUAAAAGCAGCCGCUCAACGGUUGUUUGCACUGAAUACUGUCUAUCUAGAAUGUGGUAGGAAGUUUUGGAAUUAAAUGUGGAGCGGUGGAAUGUGUAGAUAUAUUUAAGAACACCAGAGGCGAAAGCGAAAACUUAGGCCAUUAUUGACGCUUAGGCUUGAAAGUGUGGGUAGCAAAUG